rnacentral:rRNA from 1 species
UACGAAGGGGGCUAGCGUUGUUCGGAAUUACUGGGCGUAAAGCGCACGUAGGCGGAUUUGUUAGUCAGGGGUGAAAUCCCGAGGCUCAACCUCGGAACUGCCUUUGAUACUGCAAAUCUCGAGUCCGGAAGAGGUGAGUGGAAUUCCUAGUGUAGAGGUGAAAUUCGUAGAUAUUAGGAAGAACACCAGUGGCGAAGGCGGCUCACUGGUCCGGUACUGACGCUGAGGUGCGAAAGCGUGGGGAGCAAACAGG